AUUGAACGCUGGCGGCAGGCCUAACACAUGCAAGUCGAGCGGAUGAGUGGAGCUUGCUCCAUGAUUCAGCGGCGGACGGGUGAGUAAUGCCUAGGAAUCUGCCUGGUAGUGGGGGGCAACGUUUCGAAAGGAACGCUAAUACCGCAUACGUCCUACGGGAGAAAGCAGGGGACCGUUCGGGCCGUUGCGCUAUCAGAUGAGCCUAGGUCGGAUUAGCUAGUUGGUGAGGUAAUGGCUCACCAAGGCGACGAUCCGUAACUGGUCUGAGAGGAUGAUCAGUCACACUGGAACUGAGACACGGUCCAGACUCCUACGGAGGCAGCAGUGGGGAAGUAAUUGGACAAUAGGGCGGAAAGACCUGAUCCAGCCAUGCCGCGUGUGUGAAGAAGGUC
rnacentral:rRNA from 1 species